rnacentral:rRNA from 1 species
GUGAGGAAUAUUGCGCAAUGGAGGCAACUCUGACGCAGCCAUGCCGCGUGCAGGAAGAAGGCGCUACGCGUUGUAAACUGCUUUUAACCGGGAAGAAACCCCAGGACGUGUCCUGGGUUGACGGUACCGGAGGAAUAAGCACCGGCUAACUUCGUGCCAGCAGCCGCGGUAAUACGAAGGGUGCAAGCGUUAUCCGUAUUCAUUGGGUUUAAAGGGUGCGUAGGCGGAGCGUUAAGUCAGUGGUGAAAUCCUGCAGCUUAACUGUAGACUUGCCAUUGAUACUGGCGCUCUUGAGUGCGCUGGAAGGGGGCGGAAUGUGCCGUGUAGCGGUGAAAUGCUUAGAUAUGGCACAGAACACCAAUUGCGAAGGCAGCUCACUAAGGCGAUACUGACGCUGAGGCACGAAAGCGUGGGGAUCGAACAGGAUUAGAAACCCUGGUAGUCC